rnacentral:rRNA from 1 species
ACUCAAAUGAAUAGACGGGGGCCCGCACAAGCGGUGGAGCAUGUGGUUUAAUUCGACGCAACGCGAAGAACCUUACCAGCUCUUGACAUGUCCCGUACGGGCCGGGGAGACCCGGUUCAUCGGUUCGGCCGGCGGGAACACAGGUGCUGCAUGGCUGUCGUCAGCUCGUGUCGUGAGAUGUUGGGUUAAGUCCCGCAACGAGCGCAACCCCCAUCCGCAGUUGCCAGCGAGUUAAGUCGGGCACUCUGCGGAAACUGCCGGUGACAAGCCGGAGGAAGGCGGGGAUGACGUCAAGUCCUCAUGGCCCUUAUGGGCUGGGCUACACACGUGCUACAAUGGCGGUGACAGAGGGGAGCAAGGGUGCGAGCCCGAGCCAAUCUCAAAAAACCGUCUCAGUUCGGAUUGCUCUCUGCAACUCGAGAGCAUGAAGUCGGAAUCGCUAGUAAUCGCGGAUCAGCACGCCGCGGUGAAUACGUUCCCGGGCCUUGUACACACCGCCCGU